UGGAAGGGGUGUGUUGUAGGGCUCUGCGGCGGGUCCUGAAGAAGAGACUGGAAGUCGAGGAGUCUGUUUCUCAGAAAAUGAGGUUUUGGUCACUGUCUGCGGUGUUGGGAGUAAGGGCGUCAUAUUGGAUCAUGGAUUGAGCGUUUGUAGCGGUCCGUAAUUUCUGGUGCCGUUGUGAUUAGUAAUUAAAGGGGCCUGCCCAAGACAGUGACUGCCGCCCUGUGGAACUCAGUUAUUUAGUGGCGCUGCUGGUAGUGGACUCUGAUGAGAGUCAGCAGCUUAUCGGGGAUUUGUAGGGCUAGUGAUUGGGCGUGUCUGUGUGAGUGAUUCUGGGACUCUCAGGAUCACGGGUUAGGGUCAUAUAGAAAUCAGUGGUUGGGGCCCUGAAGGGGGGUAUCCCUCAUUAGGGUUAUUUUGGGUCAGUGAGUAGAGGCUGUAGUGGGCAACUGUUAGGAGCCUGUGUGAUAGCUUGGGGAGCAGGCAGCUCGUGAUCAGUGAUUGGAGUUCUAGCCCAGAAUUGUAACAGUUGGAGUUCAGGCUGCGCUCCACACGUAGCAUAGUGUGCUGAGUUUUCUUGUGUGGGUUUAUGUCCCUAAGGAUGCUGAGGAUAGGGGGAGAGUUCUGUUUCCACCCUUGAAUCUGUCUGGUGAACAAACUUCAGGCAGAUUGUAUUCUCUACUAAUACUGGCUUUUAGCUGGCGAAGUACUAAAAGCCUAAGUCUCUCCUCAAAAAUCCUUUCGCAAAGCUCCUUUGCCUUCUCCCUGUCCUUCAAUCUAUGCAGUAUCUCCGGACAGUGUCAACCACACUCAUUACAUCAGCUACACCUUUAAAAUCAUGACUUGACAAUCUAUGGCACCAGCCCAGACAUUUCUAACAAGCUCCAGAUUCACAGUAGCUGACUGUCUCCUACAGAUCUGCGAGGUUUACUCGGACACCUUGAUCUUAACAUGAUCAAAAUAGAGUUUAUCGUCUUCCGUCUCCGUACUUUACCUGCUCGUCCUGCUAUAUUUCUACAUCAUGAUGAAUGGCAUCUACAGCAUUAUGAAUGGCAUUCAUCCAGUUGGCCAUAGUAAAAAUCUUGGAGACAUCUGGUUUUCUCCCCAUCCGUCUCCCAUAUCCAGUCAAUCUUCUGAUCCUGGUGAUUUUGACUCCCUGACGUAUCUCCAGUUUGUCCUCCCCAUUCCCGCUGCUAUGGUCUUAGUUCAGGCUGCAUCAUCCCUUUGUUUAAACCUGCAUCAGGAAAACCCCGUAUCAGAGUGUUGGACGCUCGGAGAAAGUCAGAAGAAGGAAUGUUGACUUUCUAUCCAGGAGGCACCUGGAAAGGCUUUCUAGAGAAGCUCUGUCUUUACAGAUAUCUGUUCCUUCUGAAGAGCAACAGAAAAUGACCACGUCUCAGGGAUUUGUGUCUUUCAAGGAUGUGACUGUGGACUCCACUCAGGAGGAGUGGCAGCGGCUGGACUCUGCUCAAAGAAACCUGUAUGGGGAUGUGAUGCUGGAGAAUUAGAGCAACCUUGUUUCAGUGGGGAAUCAAUCUCUGAAGUCAGAUGUAAUCUUGUUGAAUCAAGGAGCACCAUGGAUGGAGGAGGGAGAAAUCUCAAGUUGGGCCUAUCCAGGAAAUCAUUCUUUAGGCCAUAGACGUUUAGAAAUGGCUGAAGACAGUUGAUAUGGGAUUGUCAAAUACCUAAAUGACACUGCUACAUGUCAAACACCCACAGAGUCCUUGUUCUUUGCUUGACUUUUAGAGAAGGAGACUUUGAAAUUAGACCCAGAAUGAAAGAAUUAACUCCACAGAAGAGCAUUUCUGAAGAAGUGAUACUUCAUAACCUGAUAGGAUACUCAAUUUUUGAAGACUGGAACCUUGAAGAUGAGAUAAAUCACCAGGAAAACCAAGACAAGCUGUUGAACCAAGUUGCAUUCAUUAACAAUAAAUCACUGACUGAAGAGAUAGACCAUGAAUGUAAUGCACUGGAGAAAGUAGUUCAUCUGAACAGAACAUCUAAUAAACACAUCAGAAGCUUCAUACAGAAGUCACACCUCUUUGCACAGCCAAAAAUUCUAACCAGUGAGAAAUCAUAUAGAUGUAUUCAGUGUGGGAAAGCCUUAAGUAGAAAGUCAGGACUCAUUGUACAUCAGAGAAUUCAUACUGGGGAGAAACCAUACAAAUGUAAUGAAUGUGAAAAAGCCUUUAUUCAGAAGUCACAACUCACUGUACAUCAGAGAACUCAUACAGGAGAGAAACCCUAUGAAUGUAGGGAAUGUGGAAAAGCAUUCAUACAGAAGUCAAACCUCGUUAUUCAUCAGAGGAGUCACACGGGAGAAACCCUAUGAAUGCAAUGAAUGUGGGAAAACUUUCAUCAAGAAGUCAACACAUGGUGUUCAUCAAAGAGCUCAUACUGGGGAGAAACCAUAUGAAUGCAAUGAAUGUGGGAAAGCCUUCACCUGGCAGUCACAGCUCAUUGUACAUCAGAGAAUUCAUACUGGGGAGAAACCCUAUGAAUGCAGUGAAUGCAGAAAAGCUUUUAUCCAGAAAUCACAACUCAUUGUGCAUCAGAGAAUCCAUACUGGAAUGAAACCAUAUGAAUGCGUUGAGUGUGGAAAAGCGUUUAGCAAGAAGUCACACCUCACCAUACAUCAUAGAAUACAUACUGGAGAAAAACCCUAUGAAUGCAGGGAUUGUAGAAAAGCUUUCAGCAAGAAAUCUAAUCUCAUUGUACACCAGAGAAUUCAUGUUGAACAGAAACUGUUUUAAUGGAAUGAGAAAACUUGAAUUCAGUGAUCAAAAUUUCAUUAUACUUUAUAGAAUUUAUAUAGGCUGGAAACUUUAUGAAUGUACUAAACAUGGGAAGCCUUCAACAAUAGGUCUAGAACUAUUAAGCACCAGAAAAUUCAUACUGAGAAGCAAUUGAAAAAUCAUGUUUCCAAAAAAAACAUUGUGUUGGACAUCUUGGUUCAGACCUAAAAAAAUUUUUUUAAGUAUGCUAGAAAAAUCUCAAUUACACGAUUGACUUGUUCACUAUAAGUACAGCUUUUUUAAAUGAGUAAGUAAAUUGAUUGAUCACAACAAGAAAGUGACAAGAAUAUGUAGUCAUUCUGCAGGUGAUGUAGGAAUGGCAUUGAAACCCAAAUUAUCUGUCAGAAUUGAAAAUGGAUAUUUAUACCUGCCUUUUCCACACUAAGUGACACCAUUUUCUCCACAUCUUAAAACACAAAAUGUAAAAGGACAAAUUGUAAGUGAAAAAGCAAUAUGGUUUGUUAUUUAACAAGAGUACAAAAAAAUACAUAUAACCUUUCCCACUCUUUCUUGAUGUGUAUAGAAUGAUGAGAGGAUGAUGCCAGUGUAUUUAUAAAGACUUCAAAAGUCAAU